CUGGUUAUCUCUCCUCCUCCUCUCUAAUGUAGCUGUACUGGAUCGGUUCUCCCUCCUCCUCUCUAAUGUGUCUAUAAUAGACUGGUUCUCGCUCGUCCUCCUCUUUAAUGUAGCUGUACUAUACAGGUUCUCCCUCCUCCUCUCUAAUAUAUCUAUACUAGACUGGUUUUCCCUCCUCCUCCUCUCUAAUGUGGCUAUACUAGACUGGUUCUCCCUCCUCCUCUCUAAUAUAUCUAUACUAGACUGGUUUUCCCUCCUCCUCCUCUCUAAUGUAGCUAUACUAGACUGGUUUUCCC
ensembl:lncRNA